rnacentral:rRNA from 1 species
GAAGUCCUACGGGGGGCAGCAGUAGGGAAUCUUCCACAAUGGACGAAAGUCUGAUGGAGCAACGCCGCGUGAGUGAAGAAGGGGUUCGGCUCGUAAAUGUCUGUUGGUAGUGAAGAAAGAUAGAGGUAGUAACUGGCCUUUAUUUGACGGUAAUUACUUAGAAAGUCACGGCUAACUACGUGCCAGCAGCCGCGGUAAUACGUAGGUGGCAAGCGUUGUCCGGGUUUUUUGGGCGUAAAGCGAGUGCAGGCGGGUCAA